rnacentral:rRNA from 1 species
GACGAACGCUGGCGGCGUGCCUAAUACAUGCAAGUAGAACGCACAGUUUAUACCGUAGCUUGCUACACCAUAAACUGUGAGUUGCGAACGGGUGAGUAACGCGUAGGUAACCUGCCUGGUAGCGGGGGAUAACUAUUGGAAACGAUAGCUAAUACCGCAUAAUAUUGAUUAUUGCAUGAUAAUUGAUUGAAAGAUGCUAUUGCAUCACUACCAGAUGGACCUGCGUUGUAUUAGCUAGUAGGUGAGGUAACGGCUAACCUAGGCGAUGAUACAUAGCCGACCUGAGAGGGUGAUCGGCCACACUGGCACUGAGACACGGCCCAGACUCCUACGGGAGGCAGCAGUAGGGAAUCUUCGGCAAUGGACGAAAGUCUGACCGCGCAACGCCGCGUGAGUGAAGAAGGUCUUCGGAUCGUAAAGCUCUGUUGUAAGCGAAGAACGGGUGUGAGAGUGGAAAGUUCACACUGUGACGGUAUCUUACCAGAAAGGGACGGCUAACUACGUG